CUGGGAAAACCGACCGAGUUCGUUGUGAGCUCGUAAAACAACAAGUUUGGUUGUGAGCUUGCAAAACAACCGGCUGUAAUCCAAGGGGGUUAUAGUGAAAUUUCCAAGUGAGACUUAGGGAGUGGACGUAGGAGCAAGGGUUAGCUCCGAACCACUAUAAAACUUUGUGUUUGUAGUGCAUUGUCUCUCAUCUUCUUCCCCGGACACUACUCACAGCACUUAGCUUUAAUUAAACAAC
rnacentral:lncRNA from 1 species